UCCCACGACACAAUACACGCACGCACACAUGUUCUGUGCUCUCUUAUCUCGUUCCCCUGCUGCCUCCUGAUGCGCCGCCGCCGCCUGUUGCUCCGGCUGCCGCCGGUCGCCGGCCUAGCUCCCCCAGGGUCUCCUCCCUCGAAUCCCCGCCGCCACGACACUGCUCUGCCUGCGUGCGCUCCCGAUGGCUAACCCUGCUGAUUCCACCCAGCUCGCCCGAUUUUCUAAUUUGAUUCGCGUCUGGGUUUGGAGGGAUUCGACGGGAUCCUCACGGUGCCGGAUGCAUCCUCGCCGAAGCCGGCUUCAUCCUCGUUCGUGGCGGGGUGCGUCCUCGACGACCUGGCCCUCCCGCCGCGGUACCUCACCGCCGCGUCCGACCUCCCGGUCUCCCACCUCCUCCGCUCCCUCCCGCUCCCUUCCCCCUCCUUCUACCUCACCUCCGAUGGCCGCCCGUUCGCUCCAUCCGCCCCCGUCGACUCCCUCCCGCCGUCCGCCUCCCUCCAGCUCCGCCUCCGCGCGCUCCGCGGCGGGGGCGGCGACGGCGGGUCAACCUGCGCCGAGUCGCGCGACUGCUACCUCUCUCCAUGUACCUUGCGAAUAAGCCCGGCAAGGCCGACCCCAACGAGGCCCGCCUCUCGCGCUUCACCUGCUGCGCGCUCUCCGGGGAGCCCCUGGCCGCGCCCGCGGUUGUGGAUCGCCUGGGCAACCUAUUCAACAAGGAGCCCCUCGUCGAGGCGCUCCUCCACAAGCGCCUGCCCAAGGCACUCUCGCACAUCCGCGGGCCCAAGGACAUGAUCCCCAUCCACCUGCACCGACGUGCCCUCAGCCACCAGCGCGCCCUCAGCCACCUGCGCAGCAUCCGCCACCGGCGCUGCCUCAGCCACCGACGCGCCCUCAUCCACCAGCGCAGCAUCUGCCACCGGCGCGUCCUCCGCCACCGGUGCCCAGUCUGCAGGACAUCAUUAUCAGCAUGGUCGAAACUCACCUGACAGUAUAUGCAUAUGUGUUGAUAAUAUCUCUUUGACAGGUACAAUUUGCUCAUAGUAUGUAAUGUCCAUUUCUUCCUUUCUGGUUUUUCACAAACUAUACAUUAGCUGAUAAUUCUUAUUGAGCAUCUCAAAUUAUGUGCCCUAUGUUCCUUUGAAUGAACAUUUUUCAGUGACUUAGAUGAGGAUAUCAGUGAUGAUGGAGAGGACUUUGUGAGCGAGGAAGACGACUAUGUUAGUUUCGAAGAUGACUACAUGAGUGAUGAAGAACACUUGCUGAUUGAAGAAGAUGAGUACGAUGAGAAGAAAGAAAGUUAAUUAUUGUAAAUAUAAUUCUCUUUUGAAUUCCAAAAGUGGCCAGUUCCAGGUACAAUGCUGAAUACUGAAGGUGAUGCUGAUCACUGAUGCUGUACCAUCUUAGUCGUUUGGGUUCAACUGAAGGUGAUGCUGCUCAGUGAUGAUGUUCGAAGUGGAAACAUGGUGAUGAUUUUGAGUGUCAUAAUUUUCGUCUCCGUUUUGCUGAAUCAAAUUACUACAAACUGAGAGUGUCAUAAUUUCGUCUCUGUUUUGCUCUGUGAGACAUAGUGAGAUAUUAUAUUGAACAUGGAUUACAUACUAUGUUGCAGCUCUGUUUUACAGUGUGUAAUUGAUAAUUACGCAACAAAGUGCAUUGGAUUCUCGUAUGACAGUGUGUAUGAUAGUAUAUAUGUUGGUACUGUGUGUUCUUAUACA